UGGGGAAUUUUGCACAAUGGGGGAAACCCUGAUGCAGCGACGCCGCGUGAUUUAGAAGGCCUUCGGGUUGUAAAAAUCUUUUCUAUGGGAAGAAAAUGACAGUACCAUAGGAAUAAGGACCGGCUAAUUACGUGCCAGCAGCCGCGGUAAUACGUAAGGUCCGAGCGUUGUCCAGAAUCAUUGGGCGUAAAGGGUACGUAGGCGGGUAAGCAAGUUAGAAGUGAAAUCCUAUAGCUCAACUAUAGUAAGCUUUUAAAACUGCUCAUCUUGAGGUAUGGAAAGGAAAGUGGAAUUCCUAGUGUAGCGGUGAAAUGCGCAGAUAUUAGGAGGAAUACCGGUGGCGAAGGCGACUUUCUGGCCAUAACCUGACGCUGAGGUACGAAAGCGUGGGUAGCAAACAGG
rnacentral:rRNA from 1 species